rnacentral:rRNA from 1 species
UUGGAAAGUAAAAAAGCGUAACAAGGUCUCCGUUGGUGAACCAGCGGAGGGAUCAUUACCGAGUUUACAACUCCCAAACCCCUGUGAACAUACCACUUGUUGCCUCGGCGGAUCAGCCCGCUCCCGGUAAAACGGGACGGCCCGCCAGAGGACCCCUAAACUCUGUUUCUAUAUGUAACUUCUGAGUAAAACCAUAAAUAAAUCAAAACUUUCAACAACGGAUCUCUUGGUUCUGGCAUCGAUGAAGAACGCAGCAAAAUGCGAUAAGUAAUGUGAAUUGCAGAAUUCAGUGAAUCAUCGAAUCUUUGAACGCACAUUGCGCCCGCCAGUAUUCUGGCGGGCAUGCCUGUUCGAGCGUCAUUUCAACCCUCAAGCACAGCUUGGUGUUGGGACUCGCGUUAAUUCGCGUUCCUCAAAUUGAUUGGCGGUCACGUCGAGCUUCCAUAGCGUAGUAGUAAAACCCUCGUUACUGGUAAUCGUCGCGGCCACGCCGUUAAACCCCAACUUCUGAAUGUGACCUCGAUCAGUAGAU